rnacentral:rRNA from 1 species
GUAGUCAUAUGCUUGUCUCAAAGAUUAAGCCAUGCAUGUCCAAGUAUAAGCACUCAUACUGUGAAACUGCGAAUGGCUCAUUAAAUCAGUUAUCGUUUAUUUGAUAGUACCUUUACCUGGAUAACCGUGGUAAUUCUAGAGCUAAUACAUGCUAAAAACCUCGACUUCGGAAGGGGUGUAUUUAUUAGAUAAAAGACCAAUGCCCUUUGGGCUCCUUGGUGAUUCAUAAUAACUUAACGAAUCGCAUGGCCUUGCGCCGGCGAUGGUUCAUUCAAAUUUCUGCCCUAUCAACUUUCGAUUGUAAGAUAGGGGCUUACAAUGGUCUCAACGGGUAACGGGGAAU